rnacentral:rRNA from 1 species
ACGGGAGGCAGCAGUGGGGAAUAUUGGGCAAUGGGCGGAAGCCUGACCCAGCAAUGCCGCGUGAAGGAAGAAGGUCUUCGGAUUGUAAACUUCUUUUAUGAGGGACGAAGGAAUUGACGGUACCUCAUGAAUAAGCCACGGCUAACUACGUGCCAGCAGCCGCGGUAAUACGUAGGUGGCAAGCGUUAUCCGGAUUUACUGGGUGUAAAGGGCGCGUAGGCGGGGAAGCAAGUCAGAUGUGAAAUCUAUGGGCUUAACUCAUAAACUGCAUUUGAAACUGUUUCUCUUGAGUGCUGGAGAGGUAGAUGGAAUUCCUAGUGUGGCGGUGAAAUGCGUAGAUAUUAGGAGGAACACCAGUGGCGAAGGCGGCUUGCUGGACGACAACUGACGCUGAGGCGCGAAAGCGUGGGGAGCAAACAGGAUUAGAUACCCUGGUA